UACAGAGGGUGCAAGCGUUGUUCGGAAUUAUUGGGCGUAAAGCGCGUGUAGGCGGCCAGCCAAGUCGGGUGUGAAAGCCCUCGGCUUAACCGAGGAAGUGCGCCCGAAACUAUCUGGCUUGAGUACCGGAGAGGAUGGUGGAAUUCCCGGUGUAGAGGUGAAAUUCGUAGAUAUCGGGAGGAACACCAGUGGCGAAGGCGACCAUCUGGACGGAUACUGACGCUGAGACGCGAAAGCGUGGGGAGCAAACAGG
rnacentral:rRNA from 1 species